CCUACGGGAGGCAGCAGUGAGGAAUGUUGGGCAAUGGGCGCAAGCCUGACCCAGCAACGCCGCGUGAAGGAAGACUGCUUUCGGGUUGGAACCUUCUUUUGUCAGGGACGAAACGAGAGGCGGUACCUCACGAAUAAACCCCGGCUAACUACGUGCCAGCAGCCGCGGUAAUACGUCAGUGGCGAGCGUUAGCCGGAUUUAAUGGGUUUAAAGGGCGUGUGGGCGGGAAUGCAAGUCAGAUGUGAAAUCAACUGGCUCAACCUGUGGCUCGCAUUUGAAACUGGAGUUCUUGAGUACUGGAGAGGUAGACGGAAUUCCUAGUGUAGCGGUGAAAUGCGUAGAUAUUACGAAGAACACCAGUGGCGAAGGCGGUUUGCUGGACAGCAACUGACGUUGAGGCGCGAAAGUGUGGGGAGCAAACAGGAUUAGAUACCCGGGUAGUC
rnacentral:rRNA from 1 species